GUGUUGUAUGAAAGGAGAGAAGGUUAGCACUCCCCUUGACAAGGAUGGAAGAGGCCCUUGGGCCUGACAACACGCAUACGGUUAAGGCAUUUUCCAGCCGCACCAAGCCAGGUGGGAAC
ensembl:snRNA